GUCGACAACAGAGUUUGAUCAUGGCUCAGGACGAACGCUGGCGGCGUGCCUAAUACAUGCAAGUCGAACGAACGGAGGAAGAGCUUGCUCUUCCAAAGUUAGUGGCGGACGGGUGAGUAACACGUGGGCAACCUGCCUGUAAGUUGGGGAUAACUCCGGGAAACCGGGGCUAAUACCGAAUGAUAGAGUGUGGCGCAUGCCACGCUCUUGAAAGAUGGUUUCGGCUAUCGCUUACAGAUGGGCCCGCGGUGCAUUAGCUAGUUGGUAGGGUAAUGGCCUACCAAGGCAACGAUGCAUAGCCGACCUGAGAGGGUGAUCGGCCACACUGGGACUGAGACACGGCCCAGACUCCUACGGGAGGCAGCAGUAGGGAAUCUUCCGCAAUGGACGAAAGUCUGACGGAGCAACGCCGCGUGUAUGAAGAAGGUUUUCGGAUCGUAAAGUACUGUUGUUAGAGAAGAACAAGGAUAAGAGUAACUGCUUGUCCCUUGACGGUAUCUAACCAGAAAGCCACGGCUAACUACGUGCCAGCAGCCGCGGUAAUACGUAGGUGGCAAGCGUUGUCCGGAUUUAUUGGGCGUAAAGCGCGCGCAGGCGGUCUUUUAAGUCUGAUGUGAAAGCCCCCGGCUUAACCGGGGAGGGUCAUUGGAAACUGGAAGACUGGAGUGCAGAAGAGGAGAGUGGAAUUCCACGUGUAGCGGUGAAAUGCGUAGAUAUGUGGAGGAACACCAGUGGCGAAGGCGACUCUCUGGUCUGUAACUGACGCUGAGGCGCGAAAGCGUGGGGAGCAAACAGGAUUACAUACCCUGGUAGUCCACGCCGUAAACGAUGAGUGCUAAGUGUUAGGGGGUUUCCGCCCCUUAGUGCUGCAGCUAACGCAUUAAGCACUCCGCCUGGGGAGUACGACCGCAAGGUUGAAACUCAAAGGAAUUGACGGGGGCCCGCACAAGCGUGGAGCAUGUGGUUUAAUUCGAAGCAACGCGAAGAACCUUACCAGGUCUUGACAUCCUUUGACCACUCUGGAGACAGAGCUUUCCCUUCGGGACAAAGUGACAGGUGGUGCAUGGUUGUCGUCAGCUCGUGUCGUGAGAUGUUGGGUUAAGUCCCGCAACGAGCGCAACCCUUGAUUUUAGUUGCCAGCAUUUAGUUGGGCACUCUAAAGUGACUGCCGGUGCAAGCCGAGGAAGGUGGGGAUGACGUCAAAUCAUCAUGCCCCUUAUGACCUGGGCUACACACGUGCUACAAUGGAUGGUACAAAGGGUCGCGAAGCCGCGAGGUGGAGCCAAUCCCAUAAAACCAUUCUCAGUUCGGAUUGUAGGCUGCAACUCGCCUACAUGAAGCCGGAAUCGCUAGUAAUCGUGGAUCAGCAUGCCACGGUGAAUACGUUCCCGGGCCUUGUACACACCGCCCGUCACACCACGAGAGUUUGUAACACCCGAAGUCGGUAGGGUAACCUUUAUGGAGCCAGCCGCCGAAGGUGGGACAGAUAAUUGGGGUGAACUCGUAACAA
rnacentral:rRNA from 1 species